rnacentral:rRNA from 1 species
UACGUAGGUGGCAAGCGUUGUCCGGAAUUACUGGGCGUAAAGGGCGUGUAGGCGGAUACUUAAGUCAGGUGUGAAAUCUUUGGGCUCAACCCAGAGUUUGCAUUUGAAACUGGGUAUCUUGAGUGCAGGAGAGGAUAGUGGAAUUCCUAGUGUAGCGGUGAAAUGCGUAGAUAUUCGGAAGAACACCAGUGGCGAAGGCGACGCACUGGCUCAUUACUGACGCUGAGGCUCGAAAGCGUGGGGAGCAAACAGGAUUAGAUA